rnacentral:rRNA from 1 species
GAGUUUGAUCUUGGCUCAGAACGAACGCUGGCGGCAUGCCUAACACAUGCAAGUCGAACGAACUCUUCGGAGUUAGUGGCGCACGGGUGCGUAACGCGUGGGAAUCUGCCCUUGGGUACGGAAUAACUCAGAGAAAUUUGUGCUAAUACCGUAUAAUGACUUCGGUCCAAAGAUUUAUCGCCCAAGGAUGAGCCCGCGUAAGAUUAGCUAGUUGGUGGGUAAAGGCCUACCAAGGCUACGAUCUUUAGCUGGUCUGAGAGGAUGAUCAGCCACACUGGGACUGAGACACGGCCCAGACUCCUACGGGAGGCAGCAGUGGGGAAUAUUGGACAAUGGGCGAAAGCCUGAUCCAGCAAUGCCGCGUGAGUGAUGAAGGCCUUAGGGUUGUAAAGCUCUUUUACCCGGGAUGAUAAUGACAGUACCGGGAGAAUAAGCCCCGGCUAACUCCGUGCCAGCAGCAGCCGCCGUAAU